AUUGAACGCUGGCGGCAGGCCUAACACAUGCAAGUCGAGCGGAUGAAGGGAGCUUGCUCCUGGAUUCAGCGGCGGACGGGUGAGUAAUGCCUAGGAAUCUGCCUGGUAGUGGGGGAUAACGUCCGGAAACGGGCGCUAAUACCGCAUACGUCCUGAGGGAGAAAGUGGGGGAUCUUCGGACCUCACGCUAUCAGAUGAGCCUAGGUCGGAUUAGCUAGUUGGUGGGGUAAAGGCCUACCAAGGCGACGAUCCGUAACUGGUCUGAGAGGAUGAUCAGUCACAGUGACAUGGAGAGGCGCCCAAGCCCCCGACGGGGGGAGCGGGGGGGAAUUUUGGGAAAAGGGCGAAAGCUCUGCUCCGCCCUUGCGGGGUGUGGAAAGAAGUUCUUGGAAUUGAAAACCAUUUUAGUUUGGGAGAAGGGGUAUUAAGUUAAUACCUUGCUGUUUUGAGUUAACCAAAAAAAUAGCCCCGGUCUAAGUUGUUC
rnacentral:rRNA from 1 species